rnacentral:ncRNA from 1 species
GUAAAUGCAAUGACGGGAAAUAAAGCCGUGAACGGAUUUUCAGAGAGCUGCCGUAUGGUGCAAGGCAGUAUUCCGAAAUGGUCAUAACUCCUCCCUGAGCAGUUCGCUGAACGCUUUAGUUAUUAGGUUGAAACGGGUUCUCCCGUUAUAGAGAAAUGCAUUGUCAGAUGCAGCUGAGUGGGCAUAGAUUAUAGUAUGCCAAAAAGAGUGGUACCGUGGAGUAUUAUGCUUCAUCUCUUUG